rnacentral:rRNA from 1 species
AUUGAACGCCGGCGGCAUGCCUUACACAUGCAAGUCGAACGGCAGCACGGGUGCUCGCACCUGGUGGCGAGUGGCGAACGGGUGAGUAAUAUAUCGGAACGUACCUUAUUGUGGGGGAUAACGCAGCGAAAGCUGUGCUAAUACCGCAUAAUCCCUAAGGGGGAAAGCGGGGGACCGUAAGGCCUCGCGCAAUUAGAGCGGCCGAUACCUGAUUAGCUAGUUGGUGAGGUAAAGGCUCACCAAGGCAACGAUCAGUAGCUGGUCUGAGAGGACGAUCAGCCACACUGGGACUGAGACACGGCCCAGACUCCUACGGGAGGCAGCAGUGGGGAAUUUUGGACAAUGGGGGCAACCCUGAUCCAGCAAUGCCGCGUGAGUGAAGAAGGCCUUCGGGUUGUAAAGCUCUUUUGUCAGGGAAGAAACAGCAGCUCUAACACAGUUUGCGAAUGACGGUACCUGAAGAAUAAGCACCGGCUAACUACGUGCCAGCAGCCGCAGUAA